rnacentral:tRNA from 1 species
CGGGGUGUGGCAAAGUUUGGUAUCGCGCUUGCUUCGGGAGCAAGAGGCCUCGGGUUCAAAUCCCGACACUCCGACCA